rnacentral:rRNA from 1 species
UGGCGGACGGGUGAGUAACGCGUGAGGAACCUGCCUUGGAGUGGGGAAUAACAGUUAGAAAUAGGUGCUAAUACCGCAUAAGCGCACAGUCUCGCAUGAGACGGUGUGAAAAACUCCGGUGGUAUACGAUGGAUCCGCGUCUGAUUAGCUUGUUGGCGGGGUAACAGCCCACCAAGGCGACGAUCAGUAGCCGGCCUGAGAGGGUGAACGGCCACAUUGGGACUGAGACACGGCCCAAACUCCUACGGAAGGCAGCAG